GACGGGGCCCGCACAAGCGGUGGAGCAUGUGGUUAAUUCGAAGCAACGCGAAGAACCUUACCAGGUCUUGACAUCCCCUGACAACCCAAGAGAUUGGGCGUUCCCCUUCGGGGGACAGGGUGACAGGUGGUGCAUGGUUGUCGUCAGCUCGUGUCGUGAGAUGUUGGGUUAAGUCCCGCAACGAGCGCAACCCUCGCCUCUAGUUGCCAGCAUUCGGUUGGGCACUCUAGAGGGACUGCCGGCGACAAGUCGGAGGAAGGUGGGGAUGACGUCAAAUCAUCAUGCCCCUUAUGACCUGGGCUACACACGUGCUACAAUGGGCGGUACAAAGGGCUGCGAACCCGCGAGGGGGAGCGAAUCCCAAAAAGCCGCUCUCAGUUCGGAUUGCAGGCUGCAACUCGCCUGCAUGGAGCCGGAAUCGCUAGUAAUCGCGGAUCAGCACGCUGCGGUGAAUAAGUUCUCGGGUUUU
rnacentral:rRNA from 1 species